UACGAAGGGGGGCUAGCGUUGCUCGGAAUCACUGGGCGUAAAGGGCGCGUAGGCGGCCAUUCAAGUCGGGGGUGAAAGCCUGUGGCUCAACCACAGAAUUGCCUUCGAUACUGUUUGGCUUGAGUAUGGUAGAGGUUGGUGGAACUGCGAGUGUAGAGGUGAAAUUCGUAGAUAUUCGCAAGAACACCGGUGGCGAAGGCGGCCAACUGGACCAUUACUGACGCUGAGGCGCGAAAGCGUGGGGAGCAAACAGG
rnacentral:rRNA from 1 species